rnacentral:rRNA from 1 species
UGGGGAAUAUUAGGCAAUGGGGGCAACCCUGACCUAGCAACGCCGCGUGAAGGAAGAAGGCCUUCGGGUUGUAACUUCUUUUAUGAAGGACGAAGAAAUGACGGUACUUCAUGAAUAAGCCACGGCUAACUACGUGCCAGCAGCCGCGGUAAUACGUAGGUGGCAAGCGUUGUCCGGAUUUACUGGGUGUAAAGGGCGCGUAGGCGGGAUGGCAAGUCAGAUGUGAAAUCCAUGGGCUCAACCCGUGAACUGCAUUUGAAACUGUCGUUCUUGAGUGCGGGAGAGGAAAGCGGAAUUCCUAGUGUAGCGGUGAAAUGCGUAGAUAUUAGGAGGAACACCAGUGGCGAAGGCGGCUUUCUGGACCGUAACUGACGUUGAGGCACGAAAGUGUGGGGAGCAAACGGGGAUUAGAUACCCUGGUAGU